rnacentral:rRNA from 1 species
AUUGAACGCUGGCGGCAGGCUUAACACAUGCAAGUCGAACGAUGAUUAUCUAGCUUGCUAGAUAUGAUUAGUGGGGGACGGGUGAGUAACAUUUAGGAAUCUGCCUAGUAGUGGGGGAUAGCUCGGGGAAACUCGAAUUAAUACCGCAUACGACCUACGGGUGAAAGGGGGCGCAAGCUCUUGCUAUUAGAUGAGCCUAAAUCAGAUUAGCUAGUUGGUGGGGUAAAGGCCCACCAAGGCGACGAUCUGUAACUGGUCUGAGAGGAUGAUCAGUCACACCGGAACUGAGACACGGUCCGGACUCCUACGGGAGGCAGCAGUGGGGAAUAUUGGACAAUGGGGGCAACCCUGAUCCAGCCAUGCCGCGUGUGUGAAGAAGGCCUUUUGGUUGUAAAGCACUUUAAGCAGGGAGGAGAGGCUAAUGGUUAAUACCCAUUAGAUUAGACGUUACCUGCAGAAUAAGCACCGGCUAACUCUGUGCCAGCAGCCGCGGUAAUACAGAGGGUGCGAGCGUUAAUCGGAAUUACUGGGCGUAAAGCGAGUGUAGGUGGCUCAUUAAGUCACAUGUGAAAUCCCCGGGCUUAACCUGGGAACUGCAUGUGAUACUGGUGGUGCUAGAAUAUGUGAGAGGGAAGUAGAAUUCCAGGUGUAGCGGUGAAAUGCGUAGAGAUCUGGAGGAAUACCGAUGGCGAAGGCAGCUUCCUGGCAUAAUAUUGACACUGAGAUUCGAAAGCGUGGGUAGCAAACAGGAUUAGAUACCCUGGUAGUCCACGCCGUAAACGAUGUCUACUAGCCGUUGGGGUCCUUGAGACUUUAGUGGCGCAGUUAACGCGAUAAGUAGACCGCCUGGGGAGUACGGCCGCAAGGUUAAAACUCAAAUGAAUUGACGGGGGCCCGCACAAGCGGUGGAGCAUGUGGUUUAAUUCGAUGCAACGCGAAGAACCUUACCUGGUCUUGACAUAGUGAGAAUCCUGCAGAGAUGCGGGAGUGCCUUCGGGAAUUCACAUACAGGCGCUGCAUGGCUGUCGUCAGCUCGUGUCGUGAGAUGUUGGGUUAAGUCCCGCAACGAGCGCAACCCUUUUCCUUAUUUGCCAGCGGGUUAAGCCGGGAACUUUAAGGAUACUGCCAGUGACAAACUGGAGGAAGGCGGGGACGACGUCAAGUCAUCAUGGCCCUUACGACCAGGGCUACACACGUGCUACAAUGGUAGGUACAGAGGGUUGCUACACAGCGAUGUGAUGCUAAUCUCAAAAAGCCUAUCGUAGUCCGGAUUGGAGUCUGCAACUCGACUCCAUGAAGUCGGAAUCGCUAGUAAUCGCAGAUCAGAAUGCUGCGGUGAAUACGUUCCCGGGCCU